UCAAGUUGUUUGUCUUCAGACUUCACUAGCUGCUGAAAAAAUCAGGAGGAGUCUUACAGCCAGAACAGCCAAGUGCUUCGUGCUCAGCUGAAGAUGGAUGUGGCAAUCACAGGUAAAAGCAUUCCUCCAGUAAGAUGCAGGAUGCUCUCGGGGAGCAGGCAGGCAUUUGUGCUGCUCUGUGGAGAUGCUCUUCCCCCUGCCCAGAGCGCAGGGCCAAGGCAGCAGGGACAAGGAGAGUCUCAGUCUUGGGAUGUGCCCAAGAGCCGAUGACUUCUUCAGGACUUGUUCCAAGAAGGAGUCAAAGUAGCUGUUAACCAUUUCGAAGCUGUCCCGGAUGGCCCCGAUGCCCCACUCUGAAUAGGAU